UGGAGGAGGCAGCCUUCAGCAGUAUGAAGGACACCUAUUGCUGUUGGAAAGCAAUAGGAACCGGAGGGAAGCGCGGCGGGCAGUGCUCUCCUGGACAGCCGUUCGAGACAGAGCAGUGGUAGCCACAAAACAGGAGAAGAAUCCAGAGAAGACGUUGCUUACCCCAAAGGCGAUGAAUUCCUAAGAGAGAGACUAGGUUGCAGUGCUGUUGCAAAGAGGGUGCUUGCCAGACCCUCACCAAGUGCUCGUCAGAAGGGUGCCUGCUCCGCAAAUUUGGUGACGUGAGAUCAAGUUCCAGCACCAUGCAAAGGUGAAGAGAGAGACCUGACUCCACAAAGCUGUCCUCUGACCUCCACAUCUGGUCUGUGGCACACAUGUACACACACAUCAUGUGUAAUCACACAGCAAUCAUUUAAAAGGGAAAUAAAUUACCAAGAGUUACUUGGCCACAUGAAAA